GAGGCAAAUAUAGAAAUUAAAGAAAGCAAGUCCAGUAGGCAGGACAAAGAGCAAGGAAAAUCUAAUAGGCUGAAUUCAGACGUCCCACCUCUCCUGGGAGUUCCGGGAGUCUCCCACAUAUCGAUAGCGGCUCCCUGAUGCCUGCAAAUUAUAUACAAUAUCCCCAAAAUCAUUUUUUCUUAGAGAGGGAGAGGAAAAAAAAGAAAAAGAAAAUGAAUGAAUCCUGCUUGAUCUCUCUUUGUGCUAAGUAGACCUAUCAGUUUUCUCUGUGGGCGAGCUUUACAGUCCCCCUCUCUCCCCCCUCUCUCCUCCUCCCCCCCCCCCCAUCACUUCAGUUACUGCCAUCUGUAAUGACGCUGAAAUGAUCCGGACCACUGUCGGUGAUGAAGUACAAAAGCCUGGCGAAGAAAUUCUCAAGGCUGGUGUUGACAACCUGACUACGCGAGGCUGUCCUAUACAGAGUUAAACACAUUCCUAAGCAUUUGCUGUUUUGGAAAUCUUGAAUUGAAUCUUCCUGCCGAAAGCACCUUUGGAUUUCUGACAUAAUUCCCACAUCUGGGCUACCUCAGGGUUCUUUUGAAGACCCUGACCUGGAGUUACACGCCGACUUCGGUUCUUUGCAGGAACGGGACCCGCUCUCAUGAUCUUUCGACUGGCCGCUAUUUGAUAUACCAAGGCCGCAGCCUAGAAGACUAGCGCACCUUCAAGGUUCCGGGAUUUGGUGGCUCUGGAGGCGGGCGGACUCGUGGUCAGUGCCGCCGUCUGGUGUGUCGUGGGAGAUGGAAGAUCGAAAGCAGUGAGCUGGCUGCUGGCUGUGUGCCCAGAGACCUGAGUUCUUUGGGCACAGAGCUCGGAAAAAGCGAUGUAACAGGCUUUUAACAUCAUAAAUCAGCGAGUUGUUUGUGAUGUCUCCCUUCUCGCUGUGAAACAGGGACACCUCUUUUUCCCUCAUUAGGGAGAGAUCGAGCCUGUGGUAUGUCGUAUUACCAGGGUGGCUGGGGUCCUAUUGGGAUCUUUGAUCUACGGCAGCAUUCAAAAACUAUGGUUCUGCAUGACAGUGUGUUCCUGUUCUUGGAGCUUGUCGAUCGGUUGUGUUUCGGAAUGUCCAGGUUCGGCCUGAAGUUGGGAAACUUUGGGACCCGCGAGAGGCCCGUGGACACAAGUUCUCACUGGUGUUGCGUACUGAAGCGUAGUGGGAGCCAGGACAUCAAGGACAGCGAGAGUGGCUGUUGGAGGCCUCUGCACUCGGUAAUCAGUUUUCCAGUUCCGGAGCUGGAAAGCUCAAAAUAAAACACAAUGCUUCAGGUGGAAUGUAACAUUGAAAUAGUGACUGUUGUCUACCCUGUUAGUGUAGGGGGAGCAAUAUCUGUCUCUCCCUUGUUAGUGAAAAAGCCUAUGGGAUGUCAAAAAUGUUUUUAGUGAACGGUUAGCUUUUGAUGUACUGCAGA